GGAGAGGUGAUGGUCUGGUAAAGAGUGAGGUUUUCUGUAAGGAGGAAGGAAGACUGGAGACCUUCCUCCUGUACUACAGGCAGUCCUGGACUUACAACAAACAUUGCUUACAACCUUUUGUAAACUAUGACUGUUUCAAGGUUCCAACAGGGUUUUGACUUUACGACACUGGACACAACUGCCUCUACCUGUAUGAAGAACAUCAUAAUCCAACCCCGAACUCUGCAGAAGCUAAGAGCAUACAACAGUGUAUAUUAAAAGCUACCGAA